UAUGACAAACUAAUUAUUUCACACCCUGAAAUUGGAAGAUGAACUAUUAAAUACCAGAAUUUUUUGUUUGACUGUUGCAAGUACGGCUGUAUCAUUAAGAAGUUUACAUUGCAACCUUGUGAUUUCCAGUUCAAAAACAUGCUUUUAGCCAUUAAGAAUAAGCUGUGCCAUGCACUUUGCAGAACUUCUGGGAUCUGUGAGAUCAAUGAGGUUAAUAUUCUUUUCCAUCAACUGAAACUUGACAGCCACAAAAAAAGCCAUGGGAAAGGAAGGAAUUCCAGAGAACCUAUGUUCCAGGGAAGAUGACUUUGGGAUAGGAAUUUGAGACAAGCCUGUAGGGGUGGACAUAAUAUAUGUGAUGAAAGGAAGUGAGAAGCAAGAAUUAGUUGAUUGUCAAGGAACAAAUACUGAAUGAUGGUCUGAAGCAAGAUGGAAGAAAAUGAAGUUUCAAGAAUAAUGUUGACCCCUAUGUCUGAAGAAAAACAUAUCACAAUAAAGAAAACCAAAUGUUAAGUCAUGCAGAUAUUAAAACCAUGUGAUAAUUCAGAGAACCAUGCA